GAAAAAUCCAAAUAAGGUUGUGAAGAGUUGGAAACAACUGAACAAGAAAAAAAUAACAGAGAAAUAAAACUGUCUCUUAAGCAAUGGAAUGAAAUAAGCCCUCCAGAAGAGACCGGAUGCUGUUCCACAUCCCCUUCAAGGCCUCUGUUUGGAAAAUUCAAUUAUGGAGGACAAAAGCACCUUUUGUAUUCAGCAAAUGGAACAGUUUAAAAGAGAGAAUUUGAAAGAUGAUGCCUUUGAGAGUCUUCAUAGCUGGCGGGAGUGGGAAUGGAGGCUCAGUACCUAAGGGAGGAGUGGCUCCCAAGGGCUGGAAUAGCAAUAGAUUUCUUCUGAGACGAAAAAGCCCCAAGGACCAUUCUGUCAAAAAUGAGAAACUUAAGUAAAUUAACAAGGAAACAAUAAAGAGAAGAUGUUGUUUGAAGGGGUGACAUACUCACAUUUUCCUAUUGGAAGCCAAACAAAAAAUGGAAAGGAGUACCAGACACUUACUGACAAUUGCCCUGGAGCAUAGAGAUGGCCAUAGAAAGUGACAAAGGGAAUUGUGAAGCAAGACCUUUAACAUCUGGGGUGCAAGGAACAAGUGUGUCAGAGCCUACAAGAGUUUGGGAAGAGUGUUUACAUUUCAGCUGCUCUGCUUACCUUCAGAAGUGUAGAGAAGCAAAAUAUACCCAGGCUGAGUGUGAAGAAACCCCAAAUUGGCUAGAAUAUAGCAAAGGGAAUUCAGAGUGGUUUAUCUGGUUGGAAAAUUCUCUGGGCAAAACAGUCUUGUUUUGCUGCUGGACACUGUAAUCCAAGACUGGAAAACAGACUGAUGAAAGGGUGAAAAUCUUUUCUCAACAGAAGAGUUGGUUAAGAGUGUUAAGACCAGGGGGAAUGCAUAGUAUUUCUCUUCAUCUGGGGUCCCCACAAUCAUGACUUUACCCUCCUUCCAGUUUCUACUUUGCCUGAUCCCUGCCUGUCCCAGCUCAGGCAGUCAAGAGGUG
rnacentral:lncRNA from 1 species